rnacentral:rRNA from 1 species
UACGAAGGGUGCAAGCGUUACUCGGAAUUACUGGGCGUAAAGCGUGCGCAGGCGGUUUCUUAAGUCAGAUGUGAAAGCCCCGGGCUUAACCUGGGAACUGCGUUUCUAACUGGCAGGCUUGAGUGUGGCAGAGGGGGGUGGAAUUCCACGUGUAGCAGUGAAAUGCGUAGAGAUGUGGAGGAACACCGAUGGCGAAGGCAGCCCCCUGGGCUAACACUGACGCUCAUGCACGAAAGCGUGGGGAGCAAACAGG